rnacentral:rRNA from 1 species
UACGUAGGGGGGCAAGCGUUGUCCGGAAUCAUUGGGCGUAAAGCGCGUGUAGGCGGUCCGGUAAGUCCGCUGUGAAAGUCGGGGGGCUCAACCCUCGGAUGCCGGUGGAUACUGUCGGGCUUGAGUACGGAAGAGGCGAGUGGAAUUCCUGGUGUAGCGGUGAAAUGCGCAGAUAUCAGGAGGAACACCAAUUGCGAAGGCAGCUCGCUGGGACGUUACUGACGCUGGAGACGCGAAAGCGUGGGGAGCAAACAGG